rnacentral:snoRNA from 1 species
AACCUCUAGCUUCCUCACCCCUCAGAUCUAACUCCUGGUCUGAGUAGCUAAGAACGGAGGACAAGUAAAGCUGAAAUGAACUUGGAGUCCUUAGUAACAGCUAAGUUCAUUUCAAACUUUA